rnacentral:rRNA from 1 species
UACGUAGGGGGCAAGCUUUGUCCGGAUUUAUUGGGCGUAAAGAGCGUGUAGGCGGUCAGGUAGGUCCGUUGUGAAAACUCGAGGCUCAACCUCGAGACGCCGAUGGAAACCAUCUGACUAGAGUCCGGAAGAGGAGAGUGGAAUUCCUGGUGUAGCGGUGAAAUGCGCAGAUAUCAGGAAGAACACCCGUGGCUAAGGCGGCUCUCUAGUACGGUACUGACGCUGAGACGCGAAAGCGUGGGGAGCGAACAGG